GUUGCGGUAAAAAGCUCGUAGGUGGAUUUCUGUUGAAUGAGGCCGGUCCAUACCACGUAUGCGCAUCUGGUUCUCUUUCGGCAUCCUUGCAUUGGACGUUUUUGCGCUUGAUUGCGUGAGGCGGGCGAUGCAACUUUUACUUUGAGGAAAUUAGAGUGUUCACGGCAGGCUAUCGCCCGAAUACAUUAGCAUGGAAUAAUGAGAUAGGAUUCCGGUUCUAUUUUGUUGGUUUCUAGAUCUGGAAUAAUGAUUAAUAGGAACAGUUGGGGGUAUCCGUAUCAUGGCGUCAGAGGUGGAAUUCUUGGAUUGCCAUGCGACGAACUACUGCGAAAGCAUUUACCAAGGAUGUUUUCAUUACUCAAGAACGAAGGCUGAAGGAUCGAAGAUGAUUAGAUAUUUUUUGUAGUUUCAGCAGUAAACUAUGCCAACUCAGAAUCCCGCAUCAUUCAUUUCGAUAUGCGGGGCGCUGUAUGAGAUAUCAAAGUUUUUGGGUUCCGGGGGGAGUACAAGCGCAAGCUAGAAACUUAAAGGAAUUGACGGAAGGGCACCACCAGGAGUGGAGCCUGCGGCUUAAUUUGACUCAACACGGGGAAACUCACCAGGUCCAGACAUAAUAAGGAUUGACAGAUUGAUAGCUCUUUCUUGAUUUUAUGGGUGGUGGUGCAUGGCCGUUCUUAGUUCGUGGAGUGAUUUGUCUGCUUAAUUGCGUUAACGAACGAGACCUUAACCUGCUAAAUAGAAGCGCCUAUCUCCGGAUAAGCGCCUUUCUUCUUAGAGGGACUGUAUGCGUUUC
rnacentral:rRNA from 1 species